GGGGAGGAACAGAGGGACCUGGUUUAUAUGACUUUCAAAGUCUCAAAUGAACUAACUGUAAAACAGUCCAUGUUGGAAAGAGAGAAAGUACAAAAGAAAAAAAAGGAGAAAAAAGAAAAGAAAGUAAAG